GUAAGAUUUGUUUUAUCCCCAAUCUAAAUUUUAUUGCUAAAAUGACCAUGGGGAUCUUAUUCUCUAGCAUAACAGCGAUUAUCCUCUACUUCCCGGACAAAGAAUGUGGAUACCAGAGGCAGAGCAACUGUAAAACUAAAGAUUGCAAUGUUUGCAUCCCCAGAGAGAAUCGGGAGAUUGCUCCAGGCAAAAACAGCAUCCCGUUUUCGCUCCCCCUUCAG
rnacentral:misc_RNA from 1 species